rnacentral:lncRNA from 1 species
AUGGAAAUGCAAAUCAAAACAACCCUGAAACCUCAUAUCAGUUAGAAUGGCAAAGAUCAAAAACUCCGUGACAGCAGAUGCUGGAGAGGUUGGGGAGAAAGAGAAACACUCCUCCAAUGCUGGUGGGAUUGCAAGCUGGUACAACCACGCUGGAUAUCAGUUUGGCAGUUCCUCCGAAAAUUGGACAUAGGACUACCAGCUGUACCACUCCUGGGCAUAUAUCCAGAAGAUGCUCCAACAUGUAAUAAGGACACAUACUUCUCUAUGUUCAUAGCAGCCUUAUUUAUAAUAGCCAGAAGCUGGAAACAUCUCAGGUAACCCUCAACAGAGGAAUGGAUACAGAAAAUGUGGUACAUUUACACAAUGGAGUACUACUUAGCUAUUAAAAACAAUGAAUUUAUGAAAUUCUUAGGCAAAUGGAUGGACCUGGAGGGCAUCAUCCUGAGUGAGGUAACCAAUCACAAAAGAACACACAUGCAUGUACUCACUGAUAAGUGGAUAUUAGCCCAGAAUAUACAGUGGAGUAUCCAACAUACAGUUCACAAACCACAUGAAAUUCAAGAAGAAGGAAAAUCAAAGUGUGGAUACUUCAGUCCUUCUUAGAAGGGGGAACAAAAUACCCAUAAGAGGAGAUACAGAGACAAAAUGUGGAACAGCGACUGAAUGAAAGGCCAUCCAGGGACCGCCCCACCUGGGGAAUCCAUCCUAUACACAGUUACCAAACCCAGACACUGUUGUGGAUGCCAGCAAGUGCUUGCUGAUAUAGCUAACUCCUGAGUGGCUCUGCCAGUGCCUGGCAAAUACAGAGGUGGAUACUCUUAACCAUUAGACUGAGCACAGGGUCUCCAAUGGAGGAGCUAGAGAAAGAACUGAAGUAUCUGAAAGGGUUUGUAGUCCCAUUGGAGGAACAACAAUAUCAACCAAUCAGUACCCCCUAGCUCCCAGGGACUAAACCACCAAUUAAAGAGUACACAUGUAGGGACCCAUGGCUCCAACUUCAUAUGUAGCAGAGAAUGAACUUGUCGGACAUCAAUGGGAGGAGAGGUCCUUGGUCCUGUGAAGGCUCUAUGUCCCAGUGUAGGAGAAUGCCAGGACAGGGAAGCAAAAGCAGCAACAGGAAAAGAAACUAAGGUAGGAAGUUUAUUUAUUUAUUUUUUACAGUAGCAGCAGUUUGAAUAAGUUUUAUCCCAGUACAAACAAUUCCUAUGAAUUAUAUCCUUAUAUACUGUUUUAAGAUCUAUUGAUUUCUCCAAUAUGUUCUCCUUUUAGUGUUUAAUUGACUUAGACAAGGUCGGUUACUCAACUUGCUGAUCCUCUGUCUGCAGGUCUAUACUGUUAGAUGCAUUCCA